GACGAACGCUGGCGGCGUGCCUAAUACAUGCAAGUCGAACGCUUCUUUUCCCACCGGAGCUUGCUCCACCGGGAAAAGAGGAGUGGCGAACGGGUGAGUAACACGUGGGUAACCUGCCCAUCAGAAGGGGAUAACACUUGGAAACAGGUGCUAAUACCGUAUAACAAUCGAAACCGCAUGGUUUCGUUUUGAAAGGCGCUUUACGGUGCCGCUGAUGGAUGGGCCCGCGGUGCAUUAGCUAGUUGGUGAGGUAACGGCUCACCAAGGCCACGAUGCAUAGCCGAGCUGAGAGGGUGAUCGGCCACAUUGGGACUGAGACACGGCCCAAACUCCUACGGGAGGCAGCAGUAGGGAAUCUUCGGCAAUGGACGAAAGUCUGACCGAGCAACGCCGCGUGAGUGAAGAAGGUUUUCGGAUCGUAAAACUCUGUUGUUAGAGAAGAACAAGGGUGAGAGUAACUGUUCACCCCUUGACGGUAUCUAACCAGAAAGCCACGGCUAACUACGUGCCAGCCGCCGCCGUAA
rnacentral:rRNA from 1 species